GGUAUGGGAUGAGCUUGCGUCCGAUUAGCUAGUUGGCGGGGCAACGGCCCACCAAGGCGACGAUCGGUAGCCGGCCUGAGAGGGUGAUCGGCCACAUUGGGACUGAGAUACGGCCCAGACUCCUACGGGAGGCAGCAGUAGGGAAUAUUGCACAAUGGGGGAAACCCUGAUGCAGCAACGCCACGUGUGGGAAGAAGCAUUUCGGUGUGUAAACCACUGUCAUGAGGGAAUAAGGCCCGCCUUCGGACGGGAUUGAAUGUACCUUGAGAGGAAGCACCGGCAAACUUCGCGCCAGCAGCCGCGGUAAUACGAGGGGUGCAAGCGUUGUUCGGAAUUACUGGGCGUAAAGGGAGCGUAGGCGGAGAUUCAAGCGGAUUGUACAAUCCCGGGGCCCAACCCCGGCUCUGUAGUCCGAACUGGAUCUCUUGGAUAGUUCAGGGGCAGGC
rnacentral:rRNA from 1 species